rnacentral:misc_RNA from 1 species
GAAAUGCGAUAAGUAAUGUGAAUUGCAGAAUUCAGUGAAUCAUCGAAUCUUUGAACGCACAUUGCGCCCGCCAUUAUUCUGGCGGGCAUGCCUGUCCGAGCGUCAUUUCAACCAUCAAGCCCCCGGGCUUGUGUUGGGGACCUGCGGCUGCCCGCAGGCCCUGAAAACCAGUGGCGGGCUCGCUGUCACACCGAGCGUAGUAGCAAUCACCUCGCUCAGGGCGUGCUGCGGGUUCCGGCCGUUAAACAGCCUUACAAAACCCAAGGUUGACCUCGGAUCAGGUAGGAAGACCCGCUGAACUUAAGC